CCCUUUUGACACCAGUGCACAUGGUGAGCACGCACACCUAUUGUGGAAUACCCAUGAACAAAAUCACCCCAAACUGAUUGUCCACUGACUAAUAUCAGUCGAGGGCUGCAAGCUUCCACUGUGUGAUUGACAGUAGAAAAGUGGAUGGCGAAGUAGCUCUCAUUUGGGGGGGUAAUCUCUUCACUUGGGGGCUAGGGUGAGCUCACCGCACAGAUUCAGGUACAUUGACUUUUGCAUCCGGAAAUAUUAUAUUCACUGCUGAUUUUCUCAGAUCUGCAUCACAAUACAAUCCCAUCACUCAGUGUUCAUUUCAUGGGCUCAAAAGCACCACGCUACAGGGUACAGUCAGUAAAUGCCUGCAGCACCUUGCAAUUUUUAUUCACCAUCUGCAUCAUCCAUUGCUCCUCAUCAUGUCCUGUCUCAUCUUCAUCUCAGCACCACUACAGCCAUUGUGGUGAUGGCAGCCUGAAGUUCCAUAACAUAGAAGCACUGGGCACCCAGUCUCUAAAAGCAGCCAUAAGAACUCCAAUAAUCCAUGCAGAAACCACAAGGAACUUUGGGAAUUUUUUUUAAGAGGUCAUGAAAAUUAUGGUACAGAGGAAAGGUAAUUGUAAAAAUUUGACCUUGAGCAGAGUCUUGCAUCCCAUCAUAUCCUAC